GGCUCGUUGGUCUAGGGGUAUGAUUCUCGCUUAGGGUGCGAGAGGUCCCAGGUUCAAAUCCUCUCGGGUUCAAAUCCUGGAGGAGCCC
rnacentral:tRNA from 1 species